GGACGAACGCUGGCGGCGUGCCUAAUACAUGCAAGUUGAGCGAUGAAGAUUGGUGCUUGCACCAAUUUGAAGAGCAGCGACCGGGUGAGUAACGCGUGGGGAAUCUGCCUUUGAGCGGGGGACAACAUUUGGAAACGAAUGCUAAUACCGCAUAAUAACUUUAAACAUAAGUUUUAAGUUUGAAAGAUGCAAUUGCAUCACUCAAAGAUGAUCCCGCGUUGUAUUAGCUAGUUGGUGAGGUAAAGGCUCACCAAGGCGAUGAUACAUAGCCGACCUGAGAGGGUGAUCGGCCACAUUGGGACUGAGACACGGCCCAAACUCCUACGGGAGGCAGCAGUAGGGAAUCUUCGGCAAUGGACGAAAGUCUGACCGAGCAACGCCGCGUGAGUGAAGAAGGUUUUCGGAUCGUAAAACUCUGUUGGUAGAGAAGAACGUUGGUGAGAGUGGAAAGCUCAUCAAGUGACGGUAACUACCCAGAAAGGGACGGCUAACUACGUG
rnacentral:rRNA from 1 species